rnacentral:rRNA from 1 species
UUGGUGGCGACCGGCGCGACGGGUGAGUAACGCGUAUGCAACCUACCUAUCGAGAGGGGAAUAACCCGGCGAAAGUCGGACUAAUACCGCAGUAAAACAGGGGCACCGCAUGGUGAUAUUUGUUAAAGAAAUUCGCUGAUAGAUGGGCAUGCGUUCCAUUAGGUAGUUGGUGAGGUAACGGCUCACCAAGCCGACGAUGGAUAGGGGAACUGAGAGGUUGGUCCCCCACACUGGUACUGAGACACGGACCAGACUCCUACGGGAGGCAGCAGUGAGGAAUAUUGGUCAAUGGGCGGGAGCCUGAACCAGCCAAGUCGCGUGGAAAAGGAAGAAGGAUCUAUGGUUCGUAAACUUCUUUGCAGGGGAAUAAAGUGCAGGACGUGUCCUGUUUUGUAUGUACCCUGAGAAUAAGGAUCGGCUAACUCCGUGCCAGCAGCAGC